rnacentral:rRNA from 1 species
UGCCAGCAGCCGCGGUAAUACAGAGGGUGCAAGUGUUGUUCGGAAUUAUUGGGCGUAAAGAGCGCGUAGGUGGCUACGUAAGUCAGAUGUGAAAUCCCUGGGCUCAACCCAGGAACUGCAUUUGAUACUGCAUAGCUAGAGUACGGCAGAGGAGAGUGGAAUUCCCGGUGUAGAGGUGAAAUUCGUAGAUAUCGGGAGGAACACCAGUGGCGAAAGCGGCUCUCUGGGUCGACACUGACACUGAGGCGCGAAAGCGUGGGUAGCGAACAGGAUUAGAUA